UACGUAGGGUCCGAGCGUUGUCCGGAAUUAUUGGGCGUAAAGGGCUCGUAGGCGGUUUGUCGCGUCGGGAGUGAAAACUCAGGGCUCAACCCUGAGCGUGCUUUCGAUACGGGCAGACUAGAGUUCGGCAGGGGAGACUGGAAUUCCUGGUGUAGCGGUGAAAUGCGCAGAUAUCAGGAGGAACACCGGUGGCGAAGGCGGGUCUCUGGGCCGAUACUGACGCUGAGGAGCGGAAGCGUGGGGAGCGAACAGG
rnacentral:rRNA from 1 species